UCUCAUUUUUUUAUUGGUCAGUUGGUUGUUGGAGCAUGUAAAAUCUGUGUUGGCAAUAAUUUUCGUGACAAGGGUCAGCAGUUUUUUUUUUUCUCUUAGUUUGCAGGUUAAAUGCAAGAUAGUUCAAAGUGAGAUGAUUGGUGCAACCGUUCCUGUAGCAGUAAGGAUAUUGGAGCGUAGUGCACUACUGUUUUGAUAAAAAGAACAUGCAUUUACAACAAGCAGUUCCCUACCUGCAAAACUGAUGCAAUGCACAUUUUUUUUUCUUAGCUUAUCUCUUGUAGAUAAAAGCUAUGCUUUUCUGAGCACUCAAGCUAUCAAUGGUAUUCACUUUUUUUUUCCAGGCUUAGAUUUUGUCCUGCACAGUUAGUCAUAAAAUCCUGUGUUUCUGGUCUAAAUGUUGUGUUUUACUCUAGGCUCAGAGCCUGCAGAGAAUGCCAGUCAUUGAAGCCACAGUUUCACAUGUUUUCGGCAAACACUGUAGCCUGAAUAUAUUUAUUAUUUAUCACAAAUCAUAGCCACACACUUGAAAUAGCUAGUGGUAUCAAAUUUCAUUUAGACCUUCUCUGCCAUGUACAUAGGUGCUCUAGUUUGAACCUAGAUAACCUUCACAAAAAAUAGCGCACUUCAUUCUGGUCCAUCGUUAAUUAAGCAAUGUUGGAAUGGAAGCAACUGGAUACAUUUGACGUAUGCUAUAGAUACAAAUUCCAACUCGAACGAGGUUAGAACACCUAGAAUGUCUCAUUGGGCGUUUGGGCAUCACGCGUACUCGGUACCACUUAGUUCGAAUUAUACAUAGUAGAUUUGGGACUGGAUAAAAGGUAGGGAGCAGCUGUACGGCAGUUGCACUUCAAUAUUUUAUACAACACAUAACGGCCACUUUGUAAAGUUUUUUCCGUGUGUGCUUUUCAACUUGCGUUGAUGACAGGUUAGUUCUGCGAAGUUUGUAAUACGAAGGAACGGUUGAGAAAAAAAAUUUUCGCAAAAAAGCUACGAGCAGAGCUGUAGCGGUUUUUCAGAAAUAGAAAACGGCUGACAAACAAAAUUUUUCCUCGUGUGAGAUUCGAACCUGGGACCAAUGGUUUUCGGUGCCAGACGCUAUGCCAUCUGUGUAGCAGAAGGGCGAAGUAACGAGCAGCCCAAAGCACAUGGAUUAGAUGUGGCAAUUGUUUGUGAAGAAUGCCAUAUUCAGUCUGUGUGUUUGAAAUGUCAACACGGGCGGUGGGCUGACCGCACCAGCAGGACGUUUGUCUUACGUUCGAAUCCCGGACCAGAAUGAAUUUUCCCUCCAUCACAAAACUUUCAUUGUCAGAAAGCUGUAGGGUUUUUUGGGUUGAGUAUUUGUUACGACGCCGUCACGAUGAUGCAUUUACAAUUUGUUUGCUUCACAGGACGUCCAGAGGAGACACUGCUUUGAUGACGUUCUUUUUCUUCCCUCACAUUUCGAGUCGUGCAUUACUUUUUCAAUUAGUUAAUUUACUAUUCUAGUUUAUAGUUUCAGUGAUCUUUGAUAGUUUUGAUAGUUAAAAUACGGGAGAUAUGCAUGAGACUUGUACAUACAUAACAUGAAAGAAUUGUCUUAAAUGCCUAGAGUGCUCCGGCAGUGAUAUUGUGCAGAUAUUAUGGUGAAUUUGUACGCUUCGAAGAAAUAAUAGGCGCUAUUUGUAACCAACGAGCUUACUUCAAUGGCAUAGUGUUUAUCUCAUUUGUUUUGUCCUUUAGUAAUUAAUGGUGACCUAUGUUGUCACUCCAACAGGAGCGCCACAUUUAUUGUUUCUGAUUGUUUUUCUGCGGCACGCAUUUUUUUUUUUCGUUAGUCGCAUUGAUAUAUUGCACAUUUCAACACACACUGGACGUGUAAUGCAGCUUCCAAAAGCUGCAAUACAUUCAUAAAGUCUGUUCAACAGAACUUGUGCAACAGAUAUUUGAAACUUGCGAAAAUUGGCUUAAGUGAAGCUUUCUUUUUCGUGCUCUCUGGCCAAUAAGGCAAUGAAACAUUGUAAAUACAUAAAUACAAGUAAAGGUGUCUGAAAACAGGUGUAUUAAAUUCUUUUCCUGAAGACCAA